rnacentral:rRNA from 1 species
AAGCAACGCGAAGAACCUUACCAGGCCUUGACAUGCAGAGAACUUUCCAGAGAUGGAUUGGUGCCUUCGGGAACUCUGACACAGGUGCUGCAUGGCUGUCGUCAGCUCGUGUCGUGAGAUGUUGGGUUAAGUCCCGUAACGAGCGCAACCCUUGUCCUUAGUUACCAGCACGUUAUGGUGGGCACUCUAAGGAGACUGCCGGUGACAAACCGGAGGAAGGUGGGGAUGGCGUCAAGUCAUCAUGGCCCUUACGGCCUGGGCUACACACGUGCUACAAUGGUCGGUACAAAGGGUUGCCAAGCCGCGAGGUGGAGCUAAUCCCAUAAAACCGAUCGUAGUCCGGAUCGCAGUCUGCAACUCGACUGCGUGAAGUCGGAAUCGCUAGUAAUCGUGAAUCAGAAUGUCACGGUGAAUACGUUCCCGGGCCUU